UACGGAGGGUGCGAGCGCUGUUCGGAAUCACUGGGCGUAAAGCGCGUGUAGGCGGCCUCCUCAGUCUGGUGUGAAAGCCCGGGGCUCACCCCCGGAAGUGCAUUGGAUACUGGGAGACUGGAGUACCGGAGAGGAGGGUGGAAUUCCUGGUGUAGCGGUGAAAUGCGUAGAUAUCAGGAGGAACACCGGUGGCGAAGGCGGCCCUCUGGACGGAUACUGACGCUGAGAAGCGAAAGCGUGGGGAGCAAACAGG
rnacentral:rRNA from 1 species